rnacentral:lncRNA from 1 species
CACCAGGUUUUUCUUAGACUAUCUGACAUAUUAUCGACAUAUUAUAGUUUUUAUAUAUUAUUUAAUUGUUUUUGUUUGUUUUGUUUUAAACAGCAAAUGCCAGUCUUCUUGGAGGAGGAGGUGAGGAGGUUUUGGUAUCUCAGAAUCCAAGAGAGAAGUCAAGAAAGGAGUGGCCCUUCAUAUAACAACAUAAAGCCUGUCUCCUACUCUUGUGAACGAGUCAGCAAGAUGGGGUCAGAUUUCCUUUUUGGUUGAAGAAUUCUUCCUGCUACUGAGAGUUUGGGUGGCCGACCACUCAGCUGAUUUCUUCCUCAAGAGUUCUCCGAGACCUAUCUUGCCCAAGAUUAUGCUUUCUUUUGGAGGAUGGCCUGCAAGCAAUGAUUCGUAAUGUGAGAUGUAAAAGUCCAACUCCUUGCCUCCAGGCUGGACAACUCCAAAAGGCUAUUUUCCAGGGAACUCAAACCACAGUACAACAUGUGUGAACCUGAAUGGAUAUUGGAACUCUUGCAGUGUGAAUUGUUACAAUCUCUUUUGGAAAACAAUCUCACAUAAUCAGUUAAAAACAAAACAAAACAAAACAAAUGUAUCUUUUGACUUAUCAAUCAUAAUUUUCAGUAUUAAAAGCAAGAAAACAUUAAUAUAAGGAUAUAUGUAUAAAUAAUGUGUAUUGCAAUUUUAUUUGUUGGGAUAACUGAAAAGUUUAAAUAUUUCAUCUAUAGGGAAAUGUUCUACCAAUCCAUGCUCUGAGGUCUGAUGGUGCUAAGAAAAAUGAACUACAUCUGUAUCUGGUGGCAUGCAGAGGAUAUGUAAAUGUCAGUGAUACAAUGUUGUAUAAAAAUAAAUGAAAAGCAAGUUAUAGAUGUGUGUGUGUU